UAGUGAUAAAGAUAAGAUUUACUGAAAGGAUUAUUUUAUUAUUAUAAUUUGAUGUCAUAUAUUUAAUUUGAAUUUCACAUAAGCAAUAUGAUCGCACUGUGGUCUUUUUACUUGUCUCUGCUUUAAUGUACAAUAUCUUAUAGAACCAUGCAGUCAUUUGGAAGACGCACCUAGCGCUAUUACACACAAGAUACACACGAGGGCAAUAAGUGCAAAUUCGUCAACCUUAUCUCAAUAACAUU
rnacentral:lncRNA from 1 species